rnacentral:rRNA from 1 species
UAACUGCAGUCGAGCGACAGAUAAGGAGCUUGCUCCUUUGACGUUAGCGGCGGACGGGUGAGUAACACGUGGGUAACCUACCUAUAAGACUGGGAUAACUUCGGGAAACCGGAGCUAAUACCGGAUAACAUUUGGAACCGCAUGGUUCUAAAGUGAAAGAUGGUUUUGCUAUCACUUAUAGAUGGACCCGCGCCGUAUUAGCUAGUUGGUAAGGUAACGGCUUACCAAGGCGACGAUACGUAGCCGACCUGAGAGGGUGAUCGGCCACACUGGAACUGAGACACGGUCCAGACUCCUACGGGAGGCAGCAGUAGGGAAUCUUCCGCAAUGGGCGAAAGCCUGACGGAGCAACGCCGCGUGAGUGAUGAAGGGUUUCGGCUCGUAAAACUCUGUUAUUAGGGAAGAACAAACGUGUAAGUAACUGUGCACGUCUUGACGGUACCUAAUCAGAAAGCCACGGCUAACUACGUGCCAGCAGCCGCGGUAAUACGUAGGUGGCAAGCGUUAUCCGGAAUUAUUGGGCGUAAAGCGCGCGUAGGCGGUUUCUUAAGUCUGAUGUGAAAGCCCACGGCUCAACCGUGGAGGGUCAUUGGAAACUGGGAAACUUGAGUGCAGAAGAGGAAAGUGGAAUUCCAUGUGUAGCGGUGAAAUGCGCAGAGAUAUGGAGGAACACCAGUGGCGAAGGCGACUUUCUGGUCUGUAACUGACGCUGAUGUGCGAAAGCGUGGGGAUCAAACAGGAUUAGAUACCCUGGUAGUCCACGCCGUAAACGAUGAGUGCUAAGUGUUAGGGGGUUUCCGCCCCUUAGUGCUGCAGCUAACGCAUUAAGCACUCCGCCUGGGGAGUACGACCGCAAGGUUGAAACUCAAAGGAAUUGACGGGGACCCGCACAAGCGGUGGAGCAUGUGGUUUAAUUCGAAGCAACGCGAAGAACCUUACCAAAUCUUGACAUCCUUUGAAAACUCUAGAGAUAGAGCCUUCCCCUUCGGGGGACAAAGUGACAGGUGGUGCAUGGUUGUCGUCAGCUCGUGUCGUGAGAUGUUGGGUUAAGUCCCGCAACGAGCGCAACCCUUAAGCUUAGUUGCCAUCAUUAAGUUGGGCACUCUAGGUUGACUGCCGGUGACAAACCGGAGGAAGGUGGGGAUGACGUCAAAUCAUCAUGCCCCUUAUGAUUUGGGCUACACACGUGCUACAAUGGACAAUACAAAGGGCAGCUAAACCGCGAGGUCAUGCAAAUCCCAUAAAGUUGUUCUCAGUUCGGAUUGUAGUCUGCAACUCGACUACAUGAAGCUGGAAUCGCUAGUAAUCGUAGAUCAGCAUGCUACGGUGAAUACGUUCCCGGGUCUUGUACACACCGCCCGUCACACCACGAGAGUUUGUAACACCCGAAGCCGGUGGAGUAACCAUUU